rnacentral:rRNA from 1 species
ACUUAAGAAAAUAAGUGCACGCGGUGGAUGCCUUGGCAUUCAGAGGCGAUGAAGGACGUGAUAAUCUGCGAUAAGAUUCGGUUAGCUGGUAAAUGAGCUAUGACCCGGAGAUUUCCGAAUGGGGGAACCCACCUGACACAAGUUUGGUACUCACUCGAUAUAGAGUGUAGAGCGAACGAGUGGAACUGAAACAUCUAAGUACCCUUAGGAAGAGAAAUCAAUUGAGAUUCCCGUAGUAGUGGAGAGCGAAGUGGGAAGAGCCUGGGAUGAUUUAGCUGUAAUUAUAGUAGAACCAGUUGGGAAGCUUGACG